rnacentral:rRNA from 1 species
UGCCUUUAUUAAGCGGCGAGUGAAGCGGCAAAGCUGAAUUUGAGAUCUGGCACCUUCGGUGUCCGAGUUGUAAUUUGAAGAUUGUAACCUUGGGGUUGGUUCUUGUCUAUGUUUCUUGGAACAGGACGUCACAGAGGGUGAGAAUCCCGUGCGAUGAGAUGCCCAAUCCUAUGUAAGGUGCUUUCUAAGAGUCGAGUUGUUUGGGAAUGCAUUUCUUAGUGGG